AUUCCGGUAGACGAUGGGGAUGCGUUCCAUUAGAUAGUAGGCGGGGUAACGGUCCACCUAGUCUUCGAUGGAUAGGGGUUCUGAGAGGAAGGUCCCCCACAUUGGAACUGAGACACGGUCCAAACUCUACGGGAGGCAGCAGUGAGGAAUAUUGGUCAAUGGGCGAGAGCCUGAACCAGCCAAGUAGCGUGAAGGAUGACUGCCCUAUGGGUUGUAAACUUCUUUUAUAAAGGAAUAAAGUCGGGUAUGCAUACCCGUUUGCAUGUACUUUAUGAAUAAGGAUCGGCUAACUCCGUGCCAGCAGCCGCGGUAAUACGGAGGAUCCGAGCGUUAUCCGGAUUUAUUGGGUUUAAAGGGAGCGUAGAUGGAUGUUUAAGUCAGUUGUGAAAGUUUGCGGCUCAACCGUAAAAUUGCAGUUGAUACUGGAUAUCUUGAGUGCAGUUGAGGCAGGCGGAAUUCGUGGUGUAGCGGUGAAAUGCUUAGAUAUCACGAAGAACUCCGAUUGCGAAGGCAGCCUGCUAAGCUGCAACUGACAUUGAGGCUCGAAAGUGUGGGUAUCAAACAGGAUUAGAUACCCUGGUAGUCCACACGGUAAACGAUGAAUACUCGCUGUUUGCGAUAUACGGCAAGCGGCCAAGCGAAAGCGUUAAGUAUUCCACCUGGGGAGUACGCCGGCAACGGUGCAACUCAAAGGAAUUGACGGA
rnacentral:rRNA from 1 species